AGGAAGAUGGUUAAAUGUCA
rnacentral:siRNA from 1 species